rnacentral:rRNA from 1 species
AUUGAACGCUGGCGGCAGGCCUAACACAUGCAAGUCGAGCGGAUGAGGGGAGCUUGCUCCUGGAUUCAGCGGCGGACGGGUGAGUAAUGCGUAGGAAUCUGCCUGGUAGUGGGGGAUAACGUCCGGAAACGGGCGCUAAUACCGCAUACGUCCUGAGGGAGAAAGUGGGGGAUCUUCGGACCUCACGCUAUCAGAUGAGCCUAGGUCGGAUUAGCUAGUUGGUGGGGUAAAGGCCUACCAAGGCGACGAUCCGUAACUGGUCUGAGAGGAUGAUCAGUCACACUGGAACUGAGACACGGUCCAGACUCCUACGGGAGGCAGCAGUGGGGAAUAUUGGACAAUGGGCGAAAGCCUGAUCCAGCCAUGCCGCGUGUGUGAAGAAGGUCUUCGGAUUGUAAAGCACUUUAAGUUGGGAGGAAGGGCAGUAAGUUAAUACCUUGCUGUUUUGACGUUACCAACAGAAUAAGCACCGGCUAACUUCGUG